AGUGCCACAUUAGAACAGCUUGAAGACCGUUCAUUUUUAAGUGACAAGAGACUCACCUCCAAGAAGCAAUUGUGUUUUCAGUUUCCUGUGGAUGUCUGACUCAACUCUAUGAAAACGCCUUCUUCAGAGGUGGGGAUGUAGCUUCCAUGUACACCCCAAAUGCCCAAUACUGCCAGAUGAGGUGCACAUUCCACCCAAGGUGUUUGCUAUUCAGUUUUCUUCCAGCAAGUUCAAUCAAUGACAUGGAGAAAAGGUUUGGUUGCUUCUUGAAAGAUAGUGUUACAGGAACCCUGCCAAAAGUACAUCGAACAGGUGCAGUUUCUGGACAUUCCUUGAAGCAAUGUGGUCAUCAAAUAAGUGCUUGCCAUCGAGACAUUUAUAAAGGAGUUGAUAUGAGAGGAGUCAAUUUUAAUGUGUCUAAGGUUAGCAGUGUUGAAGAAUGCCAAAAAAGGUGCACCAGUAACAUUCGCUGCCAGUUUUUUUCAUAUGCCACGCAAACAUUUCACAAGGCAGAGUACCGGAACAAUUGCCUAUUAAAGUACAGUCCCGGAGGAACACCUACCGCUAUA
rnacentral:lncRNA from 1 species